ensembl:lncRNA
CAUUUGCUCUCUUGCCAGCCCCACCCCAUUCCCCAUCCACACAGAACCACUGGCUUAAUAAGGCCUGAAAAACUUAAACAAUGGGGAUUUCUUGCCUUAAGGCCAAGAACUUUAUUAAUUUAUGACCAUAGCAGCCAGAACUGUGUUGCUGUUUUAGGAAAAGAAAUUCUCACCAUGAUUUAUUUCUGCUAUUUUCAGCUCAGCUCUCCCUGCCUUUGCACAAGUCAAUUAGCCAAUCAGUUGAUCAAUUGGGGGAAGAAAUUGAACUAUUUGGAUUCUAAACAAGAAACCGCCCUUUUGUCUUUCUAGGCCAGGAUUUCUCAAACUUGGCCAGAGGACUUGGAGUGGGGAUUGAGCAAGGAAGCACCACACCUGAGGGAGGGCACUAUUCCCUUUUAUCUCUAGUUGGAGUGCAUUAUGCAUUUGCUUCUGGCCAAUAGCCUCCUGCCCAGUACUCUACCCACAGACCCCCCUCCAUGGCCUCACUGAACUCAGUUAACCUCUGCAAGCACCACCCUUGUCAACACUGGGAAGAGAGGUGAGUCAAGACCAGAGGCUCCUUGUAUGCAGCUAGGCUCUCACAACAGUUGGAUAAAGGCAGACACAGCUGGAGAGGUCCCUGCAAAUUAUGGCUAUGUCAAAGGAUCUGACAAUAACUGUGCCACCUCUCAGUCUCCCAGCCUGGCAAUGAGAAAAAUGCCAGGCCCCUGAGCAGAAGCAGCUGCCCUCAUCAAACUGGGGCAACCAGAGCAAACCAUUUAAUGUCGCCCAUUUCUUACAUGAUCAACUCCAAGACCUAUGACCUGGCUCACCGUAUGUCCACCUCUCCCAUUCAUCUCUUAUCACUGUCUACUUAUACUCCUCUGCCCUACUCUAAGGAGUUAUAUUUUCCUUUUCUCAAUUGUCUCUCUUCAUUUCCCACCUCUGGGCUUUUGUUGCUACUGUCUCAUUGAUCUGGAAUGACCUCCCCUCUUCCCUUUCCAUUCAUCCUCAGAACACACCCUAAAUGUCCCACAGCAGGACAGUAGAAACAUGCAUUAUCAUAUGUGGUGGAUACUGUUGUAUGAUGGUCAUUCUCCCCUCCAGAGCUGAGGCACUCAGUCCCCAUCUGUGAGGAGUUUUGGCCACUGAUGGUAUUUAUACUGCUCAGUCCCUCUGCUGGGAAAGCCUUGGGUUGAAGAAAUCUGACUUACCCAAGGUUUCAUCAGCGGACAUUCAAUGAGCAGGUCAUACAAGGAUGCAGAAGCUCUGCCACUCUUCCUCUGUAGACUGAAAAACAAACUGAAAAAGCACAAUGUGAAAGUUGUGAGUUAGGUUUUAUUGGUGCAGAAUGAGGACUAUAGCCUGGGAGAUAGCAUCUCAGAUAGGUCUGAGGAACUUCCUAGAAGAGGUAGGAAGAAAGUCAGUAUUAUCUAUGAUUUUGGUGAAGGGGAGAUACAUUUUUGCAGAGGUUUUGCUGCUAGUCUCGUGAAGGGCUGUCCCAGCUAAGCCUUCCAUGAGAUGGCCUGAAGCUUCCAUCGCACCUGCAUCACUUUUCAAGCUCUUUUUCUGCUCAGCCCUGCUUCCUUCACUCCCUUAUAGGCAGCCUGCUAAAAGUCCUCCAUGCAAAACUCCAGCAUGCAAACCUCUGUCUUCAAGUCUGUUUUCCAGGUAACCCUGAUGUUGGAGGAAGAAUGGGGCAGAAGAAGCUGGUCAUGUCCCAGGUCUUGAGUGAGUCCCUGAGAUGGCCCACCAGGUGAAGAUCCUUGGCUUGGCACAGGAAAGGAUUCAAAUUCAAGUUAUUGCAGAGGGAAAGCAAGUUUAUUUAGAGAGAUGUACAUUCCAUAGACAAGAGGGUGGGCUGUUUUAGAAGGUGAAGGCGGCUCUGAAAUUGGGGUGGUGAGUUUUUAUGGGCCAGGUAAUUUCAUAGGCUAAUAAAUAAGAGGAUUAUUUCACCUUUUGCAGGGAAGGGGUGGGGAUUUCCAGGAACUGGGCCACCGUAAACUUUUUGGCCUUUUAUGGUUGGCUUCAGAACUGCCAUGGCACCUGUGGGGAUGUCACUUAGCAUGCUAAUGUAUUAUGAGCUUAUAAUGAGGUGCAAAGUCCAUUGAAAGUUAGAUCUUCUGCCAAUCUUGGACCUGAUAGGUUCUAAUCAGUUUUUGUUGUAUCUUGUUCUUCUUGGUAUCCUGUUCUUCUUGAUGGUUGUGUCAUUCUUUUAAUGGUUGUGCCCUGACCCCUUCCUUCCUGUCUCACUAAGACUUGGCAAAUCUAGGAUAAAAUGAUAUAUAAUCAUUAAAAACUUGAAAUUAUGUAUUAGAGGCUAUUUAGUGACAUAGAAAACUGUAUUUAAGGAAGUAAAUACAAAAGCAGGAAGCAAAACUAUGCAUGCAAUAUGUUCCUUAUUAUGUAAGAAUCAAUAAGAAGAAAGGAGAGAAUGAGAGCACAAAGGAAAAUAAAUGUUUUCAGGAGGAAUUACUCUUAAAAUAGAACUAAGAUAGUGUUCACUUCUGGAAUUUUGCUUCAGUUUUGUUUACUUCAAAUAUUCUCCAAUGAACAAGUAAUCAUUAGAAAACCUAAGUCAUUGAACAGGAAAAGGAGAUAAUGUAGCUAAAGGAAGCUCCCAAACUCAAAACACAAAAACAGAAGUUUACUUAGCCCAUCCUUUGAGGACAUUUGAAAAGCUUUAGCUUCCAGGGUCCCCCUCUGUGCUGAAAGCAUCUCCCUCUUCCCUGAAAUCUGGGGAGUUGAUUACUUCCUUUUUUUGUGCAAAUCUGCCUUCCUCUGCAUAUGCAUCUAUCAUUACCCUGAACUACAUGGCAAUGCAAAUGUUUACAUUUCUCUCUUGUAUUGCACUGAGAGUCCCCAGAGGGCAGAAGAUCAUGUCCCCAUGCCUAGGACAUGGCCUCUGCACUGUGAACACAAGGCAUGUUGCUGAAUGGAGAAACUGAAUACAUGAAGUUGUAUCUGGAGGGGAGACUUGAAGAAUCAAGAAUUUGAUUGGCAUGGAGGCAGACUAUUGACAGUGAGGGAAAGGAUGUAGAAAGAAGCAUUGAAAGCCUAAUUAACAUGUUGAUUGCAUCAGGAUAGAAGACUGAGAAAUGGGAGGCCCUGUGCUUCCCUGCUCCCUGCUUUACAAAGAAGCUAGAAGCUGACAUUGCCACUGUGGCUUUGAGGCUUUCAAAAUAAGCAUCAGUUGGAUUUCAGAAGGCAAAUGAAGAAUGCCAUUCAGCAAUGAAUAUUAUGUUCAACCUUACAGUGAUUUUUUUUUUUUUCUGAUCAUUCAAUAAAAAAGCCUAAGUGUUCUUUCCAGAAUAUUUUCACAUUUCUCCAACUUAAAUUUUGGAAAGUUGCCUUGGAAACUUUCUGGCAGUACCUUAUUUUCUGCCCUUUCACUCUCUUCCUACAGUUGCUAAAAACUCCUUUUUUUUUUUCUCCUUAAUUGAUAUAAAAUUCGCUUAUGUAAAAUUUAGGGCUUUCUGCAUUUUAAAAUGUACAACUCAGUAUUGCCUUUUUAUCUGGAGGAAUUUAGCAUCUCUCCUAAAGUGACAAUUAGCCAGUCUUUAGAAAGAUAUUAACUGGCUCUAUUGAGCUGACAAUGCAAUAACACUCCCAGGUAAAACAUUUACAUUUGAAUAAGGGUGUUGAUACCUUAACUCUGAGAACUAACUCCAUUCUUCCCUGGUUCCCUGUCACCUACAGGCUAUGGAUCAAAAUGUUAGUGAUACACAGGAGAAUCUUAGACAGGGCCCUGCCGAUUUAGCCUUUCUGGGCUUCUUCUCCUGUUCCACAUUCCGCACUGUGAGCCCCAGGUGUGCUCAAAGACUUGCACUUCCUCGGGUGAACUAUGUUCUUUCAUGCUUCUGUGUGUAUUUCUUUUUCCUGUUUGGCAGAUGCCUAUGUAUCUUUCCUCACGAUGGAGUCCAGACAAUUAAGAUGCCUGUGAAACCUUCUCCACCCACACCCAGGCAGAGUUGAGAGAUGACACUCACCCCAUUUUUAUCCUUUCUCUCUCUCCUAUUCUCUAGGCAACUUUACAUGCUCCCAGUUAAACAUUUUCCCUAUUGGUUUGUAACCUUUCAUUCUGUUGUUUUUUUCCUAAUAAGACUGUAAAUGCUUUGAGCAUAGAGAUUGCUUUCAGAUCUCUACUUUUUGAUGAGCUUGAAAUGUAGCGGAUGCUCAAAAGCAGUUAACGAAUGCAGGAAGAAAAAAAGAAAAAAGACUAACAAGGAGUUCCUCUGCGACCCAGCAGGUUAAGGAUCUGGCAUUUUCACAGCUUCGACUUGGGUCACUGCUGUGGCCUGAGUUCGAUCCCUGGCCCAGGAACU